rnacentral:tRNA from 1 species
GAUAAAAUGGCUGAAGUUGAGGCGAUAGAUUGUAAAUCUUUUUAUGGAAAAAUCCUUUUAUCA